rnacentral:misc_RNA from 1 species
UUUUGAUUAUACAAGCCAGCAGGUUAGUUCACAUGGUUGAUAUGUGGCAUUAAAGCCAAUUGCUCCAAUUCUAUCAGAGGAAUCACGAAUACCGCUGAAGUUUAACUUCUUUUUCCUGAUGGCCACUUCAGUUUAAGAGUUUGCUCAUCCAUGAUUGAUUAAGGUGCGAGAUUUGGAUUUUUGUCGAUGACAUGGAAUGUAAUCUGUAAUGAAUCUGUACAAUAUUAAGAUGGUUUUAUUUCAG